rnacentral:rRNA from 1 species
GGGUUGUGAGGUUAAGCGACUAAGCGUACACGGUGGAUGCCCUGGCAGUCAGAGGCGAUGAAGGACGUGCUAAUCUGCGAUAAGCGUCGGUAAGGUGAUAUGAACCGUUAUAACCGGCGAUUUCCGAAUGGGGAAACCCAGUGUGUUUCGACACACUAUCAUUAACUGAAUCCAUAGGUUAAUGAGGCGAACCGGGGGAACUGAAACAUCUAAGUACCCGAGGAAAAGAAAUCAACCGAGAUUCCCCCAGUAGCGGCGAGCGAACGGGGAGCAGCCCAGAGCCUGAAUCAGUGUGUGGUUAGUGGAAGCGUCUGGAAAGGCGUGCGAUACAGGGUGACAGCCCCGUACACAAAAAUGCACAUGCUGUGAGCUCGAUGAGUAGGGCGGGACACGUGGUAUCCUGUCUGAAUAUGGGGGACCAUCCUCCAAGGCUAAAUACUCCUGACUGACCGAUAGUGAACCAGUACCGUGAGGGAAAGGCGAAAAGAACCCCGGCGAGGGGAGUGAAAAAGAACCUGAAACCGUGUACGUACAAGCAGUGGGAGCACGCUUAGGCGUGUGACUGCGUACCUUUUGUAUAAUGGGUCAGCGACUUAUAUUCUGUAGCAAGGUUAACCGAAUAGGGGAGCCGAAGGGAAACCGAGUCUUAACUGGGCGUUAAGUUGCAGGGUAUAGACCCGAAACCCGGUGAUCUAGCCAUGGGCAGGUUGAAGGUUGGUAACACUAACUGGAGGACCGAACCGACUAAUGUUGAAAAAUUAGCGGAUGACUUGUGGCUGGGGGUGAAAGGCCAAUCAAACCGGAGAUAGCUGGUUCUCCCGAAAGCUAUUUAGGUGCCUCGAAUUCAUCUCCGGGGGUAGAGCACUGUUUCGGCAAGGGGGUCAUCCCGACUUACCAACCCGAUGCAAACUGCGAAUACCGAGAAUGUUAUCACGGGAGACACACGGCGGGUGCUAACGUCCGUCGUGAAGAGGGAAACAACCCAGACCGCCAGCUAAGGUCCCAAAGUCAUGGUUAAGUGGGAAACGAUGUGGGAAGGCCCAGACAGCCAGGAUGUUGGCUUAGAAGCAGCCAUCAUUUAAAGAAAGCGUAAUAGCUCACUGGUCGAGUCGGCCUGCGCGGAAGAUGUAACGGGGCUAAACCAUGCACCGAAGCUGCGGCAGCGACGCUGAUGCGUUGUUGGGUAGGGGGCGUUCUGUAAGCCUGCGAAGGUGUGCUGUGAGGCAUGCUGGAGGUAUCAGAAGUGCGAAUGCUGACAUAAGUAACGAUAAAGCGGGUGAAAAGCCCGCUCGCCGGAAGACCAAGGGUUCCUGUCCAACGUUAAUCGGGGCAGGGUGAGUCGACCCUAAGGCGAGGCCGAAAGGCGUAGUCGAUGGGAAACAGGUUAAUAUUCCUGUACUUGGUGUUACUGCGAAGGGGGGACGGAGAAGGCUAUGUUGGCCGGGCGACGGUUGUCCCGGUUUAAGCGUGUAGGCUGGUUUUCCAGGCAAAUCCGGAAAAUCAAGGCUGAGGCGUGAUGACGAGGCACUACGGUGCUGAAGCAACAAAUGCCCUGCUUCCAGGAAAAGCCUCUAAGCAUCAGGUAAACAUCAAAUCGUACCCCAAACCGACACAGGUGGUCAGGUAGAGAAUACCAAGGCGCUGAGAGAACUCGGGUGAAGGAACUAGGCAAAUGGUGCCGUAACUUCGGGAGAAGGCACGCUGAUAUGUAGGUGAAGUCCCUCGCGGAUGGAGCUGAAAUCAGUCGAAGAUACCAGCUGGCUGCAACUGUUUAUUAAAACACAGCACUGUGCAAACACGAAAGUGGACGUAUACGGUGUGACGCCUGCCCGGUGCCGGAAGGUUAAUUGAUGGGGUCAGCGCAAGCGAAGCUCUUGAUCGAAGCCCGGUAAACGGCGGCCGUAACUAUAACGGUCCUAAGGUAGCGAAAUUCCUUGUCGGGUAAGUUCCGACCUGCACGAAUGGCGUAAUGAUGGCCAGGCUGUCUCCACCCGAGACUCAGUGAAAUUGAACUCGCUGUGAAGAUGCAGUGUACCCGCGGCAAGACGGAAAGACCCCGUGAACCUUUACUAUAGCUUGACACUGAACAUUGAGCCUUGAUGUGUAGGAUAGGUGGGAGGCUUUGAAGUGUGGACGCCAGUCUGCAUGGAGCCGACCUUGAAAUACCACCCUUUAAUGUUUGAUGUUCUAACGUGGACCCGUGAUCCGGGUUGCGGACAGUGUCUGGUGGGUAGUUUGACUGGGCGGUCUCCUCCUAAAGAGUAACGGAGGAGCACGAAGGUUGGCUAAUCCUGGUCGGACAUCAGGAGGUUAGUGCAAUGGCAUAAGCCAGCUUGACUGCGAGCGUGACGGCGCGAGCAGGUGCGAAAGCAGGUCAUAGUGAUCCGGUGGUUCUGAAUGGAAGGGCCAUCGCUCAACGGAUAAAAGGUACUCCGGGGAUAACAGGCUGAUACCGCCCAAGAGUUCAUAUCGACGGCGGUGUUUGGCACCUCGAUGUCGGCUCAUCACAUCCUGGGGCUGAAGUAGGUCCCAAGGGUAUGGCUGUUCGCCAUUUAAAGUGGUACGCGAGCUGGGUUUAGAACGUCGUGAGACAGUUCGGUCCCUAUCUGCCGUGGGCGCUGGAGAACUGAGGGGGGCUGCUCCUAGUACGAGAGGACCGGAGUGGACGCAUCACUGGUGUUCGGGUUGUCAUGCCAAUGGCACUGCCCGGUAGCUAAAUGCGGAAGAGAUAAGUGCUGAAAGCAUCUAAGCACGAAACUUGCCCCGAGAUGAGUUCUCCCUGACUCCUUGAGAGUCCUGAAGGAACGUUGAAGACGACGACGUUGAUAGGCCGGGUGUGUAAGCGCAGCGAUGCGUUGAGCUAACCGGUACUAAUGAACCGUGAGGCUUAACCUUACAACGCCGAAGGUGUUU